rnacentral:rRNA from 1 species
CCUACGGGGGUCUGCAGUGGGGAAUAUUGGACAAUGGGCGAAAGCCUGAUCCAGCCAUGCCGCGUGUGUGAAGAAGGCCUUCGGGUUGUAAAGCACUUUCAGUGGGGAAGAAAGCCUUGGGGCUAAUACCCUCGAGGAAGGACAUCACCCACAGAAGAAGCACCGGCUAACUCCGUGCCAGCAGCCGCGGUAAUACGGAGGGUGCGAGCGUUAAUCGGAAUUACUGGGCGUAAAGCGCGCGUAGGCGGUCUGAUAAGCCGGUUGUGAAAGCCCCGGGCUCAACCUGGGAACGGCAUCCGGAACUGUCAGGCUAGAGUGCAGGAGAGGAAGGUAGAAUUCCCGGUGUAGCGGUGAAAUGCGUAGAGAUCGGGAGGAAUACCAGUGGCGAAGGCGGCCUUCUGGACUGACACUGACGCUGAGGUGCGAAAGCGUGGGUAGCAAACAGGAUUAGAUACCCGGGUAGUC